rnacentral:misc_RNA from 1 species
UCUCCGUUGGUGAACCAGCGGAGGGAUCAUUACAGAGUCGUAAAACACUCCCAAACCCAUGUGAACUUACCAUUGUUGCCUCGGCGGGCUACCCUGUAGACCGCCGGUGGACCACACCAAAACUCUUGUUGUGAUAUUGUCAUUCUGAAUUUAAAAACUUAAUCAGUUAAAACUUUCAACAACGGAUCUCUUGGUUCUGGCAUCGAUGAAGAACGCAGC